rnacentral:lncRNA from 1 species
CAGACAUGGAGCUCAUGCACCAUUUCCUCUUGGGGAGCUCAGCUCUGCCAGCCCUGCCCACACGGAGGGAACAGGGAGCAGGUGCUGGCUGAAGGUGUGGCAGGAGCUCCUGAGAGCUCCUGAGGAGUUGAUUCCGUGCAUGAAGUUAACUGCUGGGACUGGCACUCUUACAGAUAUCCAGAGGUCCCCGUGUCCUCCUGACCCUGGGCUUCAGUGCAGCCUGACACGAAGGGAGGGUAGGGCAGGAACGGUGCAGGGCCAAGGCUGUCAGAGCACAAGCACUUGGAGCUGCAAUCAUGUGCAUAAAAGGCUUCAGAGGCUGAAUUGCACUGCAUUGCUCAAAAUACAUUUAGAUCCUCUGGGUACAGCAGGAUUUUCAAGGUCUACAACCACGUGUAGUGAAAGAUGUGAUAAAUGCUGAAGUGGUUUCCUAAGUGAAAUGAGGAAAACGAAAAUGAUACCAGUGCUGAUGAAGGCCUCCUUCCUUCAUCCCACCCUGAUGCAUCCCAUGAUUGCUGUUGAAGGAAGCCGAAUUAAUGUGACAUUGCAUAGAUGGGCUCUGAGAGCUACUUCCAACACUUGCCUCAGUGUAUGUUUCCCCUGCUUGGGACAGUCCUCUCCCUUUCUUCCUCCUCCUGUGGGGAGAGGCCAGGGAGACUGCAGCAAACAGAAGGGGGUUUUGAGCUGUAGUGGUUUUAAAACUCUUGGCAUGUCCAACCAGCAGUGACUGCAUGUAUGUGGUAUAGUGUGCCAUGUGAAAGCCAGUGAAAUCCUGCUGAAGUCCUGGAGGUUUCUGUCCUAGAGAUCACCUCAAACAGUGAUAUCCCAGCUCCUGGGGCUGGGUAGCCCUGGAGCCUCCCCUCUUCUCUAACAGCAUGUUUGCUGUGCUGGGGUCCCUGUAGGAAAGGUGUGGGGAUUUUGCUGCUAUCAUUAUAAUCAGGGCUUGAUGGGCACUGUCUGUCACUAAUGCUACCGCUACAAAGGCUGGUGUUUUAGCUCUGGGUCUAUCUAUAACCAGGUUGGAUGGAAGUAGUUUCUGCUGUCUCUGCAGUCUGACGUCCUCUUUCAGGAUGGGUUGAGGAUGAGUCAGCCUGUUUCUCUGCUGAAUUUCUACGAAGUCUGUAAACUAGCUUGAAAAGGGUUCCCAGAUUCAGAGUUUAUAUAAGCUGAGCAGCAUGCACUUUUGGGAAGAAUUUCACUUAAGUACAGGUUGCUAAUUUCCAUGGAAGCAUCUGUGAACAAAAUCUCCCCUGAGGUCCCUGCUUCUUUGUCAGCAAGCAUCAGAAGCUUGUAGCGAAGCCUUGUAUUAUUAAGAUUUCAUUACUUAUACUAAAUACACUCCAGAGCAUUUAUUAAUGUACUGUAAAGCAAAAGGAAAAAUUAAAAAUAAACUCUGCUGUCAAAGAAAUAAAGUGCCUCUU